CCUACGGGUGGCUGCAGUGGGGAAUAUUGGACAAUGGGGGCAACCCUGAUCCAGCCAUGCCGCGUGUGUGAAGAAUGCCCUCGGGUUGUAAAGCACUUUCAGUGAGGAAGAACGCCUGGUGGUUAAUACCCAUCAGGAAAGACAUCACUCACAGAAGAAGCACCGGCUAACUCCGUGCCAGCAGCCGCGGUAAUACGGAGGGUGCGAGCGUUAAUCGGAAUUACUGGGCGUAAAGCGCGCGUAGGUGGCUUGAUAAGCCGGUUGUGAAAGCCCCGGGCUCAACCUGGGAACGGCAUCCGGAACUGUCAAGCUAGAGUGCAGGAGAGGAAGGUAGGAUUCCCGGUGUAGCGGUGAAAUGCGUAGAGAUCGGGAGGAAUACCAGUGGCGAAGGCGGCCUUCUGGACUGACACUGACACUGAGGUGCGAAAGCGUGGGUAGCAAACAGGAUUAGAUACCCGUGUAGUC
rnacentral:rRNA from 1 species